rnacentral:sRNA from 1 species
AUGCUCGCUCCAGCAGCACAUAUACUAAAAUUGGAACGAUACAGAGAUGAUUAGCAUG